rnacentral:rRNA from 1 species
AUUGAACGCUGGCGGCAGGCCUAACACAUGCAAGUCGAGCGGAGCGGCGGACGGGUGAGUAAUGCCUAGGAAUCUGCCUGGUAGUGGGGGAUAACGUACGGAAACGGGCGCUAAUACCGCAUACUAUCAAAUGAGCCUAGGCCGUAUUAGAUAGUUGGUGGGGUAAAGGCCUACCAAGGCGACGAUCCGUAACUGGUCUGAGAGGAUGAUCAGUCAAACUGUAACUGAUACACGGUCCAGACGCGUGCGGGAGGCAGCAGGGGGGAAGAUUGGACAAUGGGCGAAAGCCCGAUCCAGUCAUGCCGCGUGUGUGAAGAAGGUAUUCGGAUUGUAAAGCACUUUAAGUUGUGAGGCGUUACCAACAGAAUAAGCACCGGCUAACUUCGUGCCAGCCGCCGCGGUAAUUC